rnacentral:lncRNA from 1 species
CAAUGAUGCCGUCCUUUCUACCCCAUGUCCCAAGCUCCCAGAGCAGUGCUUGGUAAAAAAAAAAGGGUACUUACUAAAAUGUUGGCUGAAUAAAAGGAAGACUUUGAAAAAUUAAGUUAUUUUGUACCCCUAUAGUGUGAAUUCUUUUUAUUGAAAUUUAAUACACUUACAGAAAAAAAUGUACAUAUUAUAAUUGUUCAUAGAGCUCAGUGAAUUUUCACAAACUGAACAAAUCUGUAAACCACACCCAGAUUGAGAAAGGGAACAUGACAAACACCCUGCAAGUCUCCCUUGUGCCCUGUGCUGGGGGGUGCCAACACCACCACCUCCUAGUCUGAUGAUGUACUAGGAGAUUCACAGACUCAGCCUGUAGUCAUACUCAUGGCUAUGUUUUACUACAGCGAAAGGCUAGGAAGCAAAAUCAGCAAAGGAAAAAAGCGCAUGGACAAAGUCCAGGGAAACCAGCUAAAAUAAAUCCCAUUAACCAUAAAGUCUAUCUUAGGAAGCCAGGUGGCUUCCUCCUUAAUUCCUUUUUGUUGUUGUUGUUGAGAUGGAGUCUUGCUCUGUCACCCAGGCUGGAGUGCAGUGGCGUGAUCUUGGCUCACUGCAGCCUCCACCUCCUGGGUUCAAGCGAUUCUCCUGCCUCAGCCUCCCGAGUAGCUGGGACUACAGGUGCACACCACCACACCCAGCUAAUUUUUUUAUUUUUGUAGGGACUACAGGUGCACACCACCACACCCAGCUAAUUUUUUUAUUUUUGUAUUUUUACUUUUCACCAUGUCGGUCAGGCUGGUCUCAAACUCCUGACCUCAGGUGAUCUGCCCACCUCAGCCUCCCAAAGUGCCGGGAUUACAGGCAUGAGCCACCGUGCCCAGCCCUUAAUUGCUGUCUGAACCUUUUUUUUUUUUUUCAACCUGACCUGAGGCAUCAAUUCAGGCACAGUAUAACUCUGACCAGUAAGCGGAAGCUAACCCAAAUGCUUUCCAGGGCUGAGGGGACAUCAUGAGAGUUGUGGUCAUGUACAGAAGCACAGUCCCAGGGGCACAGGUGGUACCCCUGUAAACAAAGAAUUUGCAAUAUUAGGGCACCUCAAGCAGGACAUCCAUUAGGCUGUACAGGUGAACAGACCUCCUACCAGGGGAACUCCUGCCCAAGUGUUUCCAGUCCCAUCUGAAAAGUUCCCAGAGUCCUUGGCUUCCAAGGGACUGCCUGAAGGCAGUGAGUCCCAAACAGUUUUGCUUGUUCAGGAUACAAGUUGAUCCAUCUCAUGAGCAUGGAUGACAUUUGUGGGAGAUCUUCAUGGAAAGCAUAGAAGCUAGACCCACUCUGUUGUCAGUCUGAACUCAAAGCACUCACAGCACAUGGAAAGGCAGCACUGGGAAUUUUCCUUCAGCAAGAGGAGGCUUCCAGGGAUCAAGCCUCCCCAGGUGCCAGGCUUUAAUUAUUUUCUCCAAUAUUACAAAAACAGUCGUGCCCUGUUCAGCAAUCAUAACAUUGCAUUUUUUCAACCAUCUCUUACUCUCAGCUAGGCCUUUCCUCUGGAAGGGUUGUAUGUAAGAGGCACAAAAGCAUUUUUGUAGAUAAACUUUUUUUUUUUUUUUUUUGAGAUAUGGUCUGGCUCUGUUGCCCAGGCUAGAGUGCGGUGGCACGAUUUUGGCUCACUGCAACCUCCGC